rnacentral:rRNA from 1 species
UACGGAGGGAGCUAGCGUUGUUCGGAAUUACUGGGCGUAAAGCGCACGUAGGCGGCUUUUUAAGUCAGGGGUGAAAUCCCGGGGCUCAACCCCGGAACUGCCCUUGAAACUGGAGAGCUAGAAUCUUGGAGAGGCGAGCGGAAUUCCGAGUGUAGAGGUGAAAUUCGUAGAUAUUCGGAAGAACACCAGUGGCGAAGGCGACUUACUGGACACAUAUUGACGCUGAGGUGCGAAAGCGUGGGGAGCAAACAGG